rnacentral:rRNA from 1 species
AUCCUGGCUUAGGACGUAACGCUGGCGGCGUGCCUAAUACAUGCAAGUCGAACGGCUUUUCUAUGGAAGCUUGCUUCCACUGAGAAGAUAGUGGCGAACGGGUGAGUAACACGUGGGUAACCCUGCCCGAUAAGAGGGGGGAUAACAUCCGGAAACGGGUGCUAAUACCGCAUAGUUUCUUGAUCGCAUGAUCGGGAAAGGAAAGACGGCCUUUGUGCUGUCGCUUAUGGAUGGACCCGCGGCGUAUUAGUUAGUUGGUGAGGUAAUGGCUCACCAAGACGAUGAUACGUAGCCGACCUGAGAGGGUGAUCGGCCACAUUGGGACUGAGACACGGCCCAAACUCCUACGGGAGGCAGCAGUAGGGAAUCUUCCGCAAUGGACGAAAGUCUGACGGAGCAACGCCGCGUGAGUGAAAGAAGGUUUUCGGAUCGUAAAACUCUGUUGUCAGAGAAGAACAAGUUGGAGAGUAACUGCUCCAGCCUUGACGGUAUCUGACCAGAAAGCCACGGCUAACUACGUGCCAGCCGCCGC